UGGCUCAGAUUGAACGCUGGCGGCAUGCCUUACACAUGCAAGUCGAACGGCAGCAUGAUCUAGCUUGCUAGAUUGAUGGCGAGUGGCGAACGGGUGAGUAAUACAUCGGAACGUGCCCUGUAGUGGGGGAUAACUAGUCGAAAGAUUAGCUAAUACCGCAUACGACCUGAGGGUGAAAGUGGGGGACCGCAAGGCCUCAUGCUAUAGGAGCGGCCGAUGUCUGAUUAGCUAGUUGGUGAGGUAAAGGCUCACCAAGGCGACGAUCAGUAGCUGGUCUGAGAGGACGAUCAGCCACACUGGGACUGAGACACGGCCCAGACUCCUACGGGAGGCAGCAGUGGGGAAUUUUGGACAAUGGGGGCAACCCUGAUCCAGCAAUGCCGCGUGUGUGAAGAAGGCCUUCGGGUUGUAAAGCACUUUUGUCCGGAAAGAAAUCGCACUUACUAAUAUUAGGUGUGGAUGACGGUACCGGAAGAAUAAGGACCGGCUAUUGACGUGCCAGCAGCCGCGGUAAUACGUAGGGUCCAAGCGUUAAUCGGAAUUACUGGGCGUAAAGCGUGCGCAGGCGGUUGUGCAAGACCGAUGUGAAAUCCCCGGGCUUAACCUGGGAAUUGCAUUGGUGACUGCACGGCUAGAGUGUGUCAGAGGGGGGUAGAAUUCCACGUGUACCAGUGAAUGCGUAUAGAUGUGGAGGAAUACCGAUGGCGAAGNNNNCCCCUGGGAUAACACUGACGCUCAUGCACGAAAGCGUGGGGAGCAAACAGGAUUAGAUAACCCUGGUAGUCCACGCCCUAAACGAUGUCAACUAGUUGUUGGGGAUUCAUUUCCUUAGUAACGUAGCUAACGCGUGAAGUUGACCGCCUGGGGAGUACGGUCGCAAGAUUAAAACUCAAAGGAAUUGACGGGGACCCGCACAAGCGGUGGAUGAUGUGGAUUAAUUCGAUGCAACGCGAAAAACCUUACCUACCCUUGACAUGCCACUAACGAAGCAGAGAUGCAUUAGGUGCUCGAAAGAGAAAGUGGACACAGGUGCUGCAUGGCUGUCGUCAGCUCGUGUCGUGAGAUGUUGGGUUAAGUCCCGCAACGAGCGCAACCCUUGUCUCUAGUUGCUACGAAAGGGCACUCUAGAGAGACUGCCGGUGACAAACCGGAGGAAGGUGGGGAUGACGUCAAGUCCUCAUGGCCCUUAUGGGUAGGGCUUCACACGUCAUACAAUGGUGCAUACAGAGGGUUGCCAAGCCGCGAGGUGGAGCUAAUCCCAGAAAAUGCAUCGUAGUCCGGAUCGUAGUCUGCAACUCGACUACGUGAAGCUGGAAUCGCUAGUAAUCGCGGAUCAGCAUGCCGCGGUGAAUACGUUCCCGGGUCUUGUACACACCGCCCGUCACACCAUGGGAGUGGGUUUUGCCAGAAGUAGUUAGCCUAACCGCAAGGGGGGCGAUUACCACG
rnacentral:rRNA from 1 species